UACGUAGGGGGGCAAGCGUUGUCCGGAGUUACUGGGCGUAAAGGGCACGCAGGCGGUUGUGUCAGUUUGCGGGGACAGUGGGUGGCUUAACUGCCCAAGGGUCGCAAAGACGGCACGACUGGAGAGCGAGAGAGGGACCUGGAACUCCGGGUGGAGCGGUGAAAUGCGUAGAGAUCCGGAAGAACACCACUGGCGCAGGCAAGGUCCUGGCUCGUAUCUGACGCUGAGGUGCGAAAGCUAGGGGAGCGAACGGG
rnacentral:rRNA from 1 species